AGCGAACGCUGGCGGCAGGCCUAACACAUGCAAGUCGAACGGACCCUUCGGGGUUAGUGGCGGACGGGUGAGUAACACGUGGGAACGUGCCCUUUGGUUCGGAACAACUCAGGGAAACUUGAGCUAAUACCGAAUGUGCCCUUCGGGGGAAAGAUUUAUCGCCAUUGGAGCGGCCCGCGUCUGAUUAGCUAGUUGGUGGGGUAAUGGCCCACCAAGGCGACGAUCAGUAGCUGGUCUGAGAGGAUGAUCAGCCACAUUGGGACUGAGACACGGCCCAAGCUCCUACGGGAGGCAGCAGUGGGGAAUCUUGCGCAAUGGGCGAAAGCCUGACGCAGCCAUGCCGCGUGAAUGAUGAAGGUCUUAGGAUUGUAAAAUUCUUUCACCGGGGACGAUAAUGACGGUACCCGGAGAAGAAGCCCCGGCUAACUUCGUGCCAGCCGCCGCAGUAACAC
rnacentral:rRNA from 1 species